rfam:Gossypium hirsutum cultivar TM-1 chromosome 6, whole genome shotgun sequence
UAUUAAAAAUUUCAUCCGAUUUUGCUGUUAAAAUUUAGUGUGGUUGAUAGAAUAACCAGAAGUGACACGUUGCAUGCCACAUAUACCUCAUACUGACAUACAAAGACCAAUUUUUAUAAGCAAAAAUGAAUGAAAUUUUUAAUU